rnacentral:lncRNA from 10 species
CUAAAGACAAACAAAUAAAUUUUUGAUAACUGAACUCAUUUUUAAAACUAAGUAUGUUUGGAACAACUGACUAUAUGAAUCUAAUUUUUUUUACACUUGAUCUUAGCCAAAAGGCCAAGAAGUGAAUCUAAUUUUUUAACUGCCGAUUUUAGGAAAUCUAAAUACAGAUCAGGUUUUCUUUCUUUCUUUCUUUUUUUCAAAUUUUUAAAGUUCUUUAAAGAGACAGAGUCUUGUUCUGUUUCUCAGGCUGGAGUACAGUGGUGUGAUCCUAACUCAAGCAACCCUCCUGCCUUGGCCCCCCAAAGUGUUGGGAUUACAGGCAUGAGCCACCAUGCCUAGCUCCACAUCAGGUAUUUCUAAUGAGAAUUGAACCUACAAAUUGAAAUGAUUCAGUGGCUUACCCAGCACUUCAGAAGACAUUUGAAAAUCAGUCAUGUUCCUCAACCAAGUGAUGCCUUUUAGCGGUGCAAAUUCUGUGCUUAGGAAACUUGCUGCUUGCCCUAAUCUUUUCUUUUUUUGUUUUAAAAUGUGUCAUGUGGCAUUUAAUUGUCCUCAUCUUAUCAAGGGUUCAGUGCACCCUAAUGAGACUUGAAUGCAUCACAAAAUGGUAAGGGCACAGCCUAGAUAUAGUAGGAACAAUGGUGAACAACCCUUCUGAAAACAGGCUAGAUUCAGUAGAGUUUUUUUUUUUUGUUUUGUUUUGUUUUGUUUUUCUAAAACAGGGUCUUGCUCUGUUGCCUAGGCUGGAGUGCAGUGGUGUGAUCUUGGCUUGCUGCAACCUCUGCCUUCCAGGCUUAAAUGAUCCUCCUGCUUCAGCCUCCUGAGUAGCUGGGACUGAAAGUACAUGCCACCACACCCAGCUAAUUUUUAUGUAUUUUGUUGAGAAGGAGUUUUGCCAUGUUGCCCAGGCUGGUCUUGAACUGCUGGGCUCAAGUGAUCUGCCUGGCCUCGGCCUCGCAAAGUGCUGGGAUUACAGGCAUUUGUUUUUUAGAGACAGGGUCUCACUCUGUCACCCAGGCUGGAGUGUAGUGGAGUAUCUUAGCUCAUUGUAACCUUGGACUCCUGUGGGCAAAUUAUCCUUCUGCCUCAGCCUCUGGAGUAGGUAGGCCUACAGCCGCCCAUCACCAUCACCACCAUGCCCCGCUAAUUUUUUAACUUAUUUGCCAGGGUAGGGCAGAGGAGUUCUCGCUAUGUUGUCCAGGCUGGUCUCAAACUCCUGGACUCACUCAAGUGAUCUUCCCACCUCAGCCUCCCCCUGGGAUUACACAAGUGAGCCACAGCACCCACUUUAGGUUCAGUAGAGUUUUCAUAUAAAUUAAUUUUCUCUUCAUACUUAUUAGAGGGUCACACACAGAACUACCUACCCAAACAGUGUGAGCUAUUUUUAGAAGCAGUGAUGGGUAGACUUCACUCUAAGCAGCUUCACUCUUCAUGAGCUGGUAGAGAUACUGUUUAUUAUAAAUGAAGUUACUGAUCCUUUACAUCUUUUCAUCAGAGUAUAUCAGUUCAUUGCAUCCUAAUGAGAAUUCCACAAUAAUACUUUUCAUGGUUAAAAAGAUUUCAUACAUUGGACUUGAAAAGUAGAUAUAAACAGCAGCAGUGAUCUCCAUUUCAAAAUGUGCAAUAUAAACUGAUCGGGUAUUUCAGAAAAGCAUUUUUGAACAGAGUUCUACCCUUCAAAAAGAUUUGUAAGAGAAAUCUUUUCUAAGGUUACUGUCUCAAUUUAAGAAAGAAAAAGGUUUGUAAGAAUGCAUAAAAACUACAGAAAUUCCCUAACCCCUUUUCACAAAUGGGAAAACUCAUAAUUGAGACUAAAUUCUUCACAUGUAGUAGAUAGAGCAUGAUAAAACAACUUGUAGUACCUUUUUGAUAAAUCCAGUUUCUGCUGCUUCUAUCAGAACCCCAAAGCUCAAUUAGGCAUAGAGAAUUCUAGGAGCUAUUCCUUUAUUUGCUGACUGUAUAUAUCUCAGUUUUCCUUUUGCAUUUUCAGAUGGGGUCUUGCAAUGUUUUCCAGACUGGUCUCUAACUCCUGGGAGCUCAAGCGGUCCUCCUACCUCAGCCUCCCUAGUAGCCAUGGUUAAAGGCAUGCUCUACUGUGCCUGGCUCUGAAUAAUUUCAUGCUGCCAUGCUUCAGAGAAAAGAGAACAUUAGCCUUCUUAUUUCAACUUGCACAGGCAAAUUCUUUACCUGCAACUCAAAAUAAUUGGUCUUUAUUUCUAAAAUGUCAUUUCUGUAUAAUAUAAGUUUAAUUCAAUUCUGCAUUCAUUGAACUUUGUAUGCCAAAUACUUUGCUGGGCCCUAGAGAUACAGAGACUAGAAAAGCAAAUGUUUACCCCAAAAAGCUCUAUCAAUCUAGAAGGGAGACAGUCAUGUUAAUAAAUAAUUGCGGCCGGGCGCGGUGGCUCACGCCUGUAAUCCCAGCACCUUGGGAGGCUGAGGUGGGUGGGUCACGAGGUCAGGAGAUCGAGACCAUCCUGGCUAACAUGGUGAAACCCCAUCUCCACUACAAAUACAAAAAAUUCUCCGGUCGUGUUGGCGGGCGCGUGUAGUCCCACCUACUCCGGAGGCUGAGGCAGGAAAAUGGCGUGAGCCCGGGAGGCGGAGCAUGCAGCGAGCCGAGAUCCAGCCACUGCACUCCAGCCUGGGCGACAGAGCGAGACUCCGUCUCAAAAAAUAAAUAAAUAAAUAAAUUGCAAUUUGGUUUGAUAACAGCAAAAAUAUUCGUGCAUAAGGAAAACACGUGGCACAAAGAAGGAAAAGUUAAUUCUCUCUAGGAGAGGGGCCUGCUAAGGAAAGAAAAGAACAUAUUAGCUAUAUUUUGGAGAAUAAAGACUGAGGUUAGACAGGCAAAGUGGGGUAGGAUGGUGGAAGCUAUUCUUCACAGAUGAAACAGCAUGUCACUGAGGCAUGUUAGAACAUAUCAAGAUGCCAUUUUGGAAGGUCAGUUUCAAGGAGGUUAAACAUAAGCAAUAGGUACAGCAUUAGAGAGAGGUUUUUUUUUGUUUGUUUUUGUUUUUUGCCGUUAGCCCCAGUCUUCAUUCCUCCCCACAUCCAUGCCUUUGGCAGGUAACUGCAGUCCCUCCCAUUAAUAGGUCAGAGUAUAUGUCCCAGCUUUUUGUUUUGCUACAUGAAUUGCCCUAAUGAAGAGAAUGAGGCUGAAGGGACAGCAUGCUAGCUCUGAGCUAAAUCUUAAGAAAUCUUGCCUAUUUCCUCUGUUGUUGUCUCUGCCAUUACCAUGAAAAGCAGAUGCCUAGGCUAACCUGCUGUUCCCAGGAGGAUGAGAGACAUGUGGAAGGGACUGGAACUGAUUCACACAUCAACCCAAUUUUGAUUAGCAGAACCAUCACAGCUGACCCGUAGAUUCAUAAGAUUAAGUUAUUGUUUAAAGCUGCUAAUUUCUGGAAUGGUUUGUUAUGCAUCAUUGUUCUAGCAAUGGCAAACCAAAGUAGCUAUAGUAGUGAAUUUGGAAUUUCUUGUAGAUGACAGAAAAUGACAAAAGGUUAUAAUAAAUAGAUUGUUUCAGAAAGAUUGCUUCAACAACAGAAGAUGGAGAUGGGAAGAGAAUGGUGGGGGAUGUGGUAGCAAAGAAGCUAUUCCAAUGAUCCAACCUCAAGAUCAUGCAAAUGUGAACUAAAGCAAUGGCAUCAGGAUGGAGCAGAGAAGAUGGACUGGAGAGAGUUUUAGGAGAUGGAGGAAGGUAGCCUGGGCCCAACUGAACUCACUGUGUAUUCAGAAAAUAACCCACAGUUGGGAAAUUCACAGUGCCAUUGCUUUGAAUCAAAUCCUUACUUCAUACCAGGUCAGUAUGGUAUAAUUCUGAGAAUAGUUAGUAGCUUUAUCCCAGGCACAUAUUUUGGGAAUUCAACAUCGUUUGUACUAUAUUCCCCCCAAAAAACAUUAUCCAUGAUCUCGGUGUGUGCCAGCAAAAUCCAACAUGCAGAGAUUUUGCAGAAAUUGUUUUUCUGAGAGUAAUAUACUUCAGAAAUGUUUGAUUUAUAGGCAGCCACAUAUGAAAAACUAAAAAAUGUUCCUAGCUCUUAUUCAUAAAUAUACAUGUAUUGAAUUUCUUUGCAGUGUGCUAUAUACAUGACAUUUUCCUCUCAGUAAAUUAUGGCUCAUUUCUGUCUCUUCAUCAGGAUGUACCAUGAUUCUUGGCAACAUGACUGGGUAUUGAUGUCUUGUCUAGCCAAUGAAAUCCACAUAGCAAAGAUGUUAUGAAGACAUGGAAACAUGAAUAUGAAAUAAAAUCAGUAUAGCUAUUUGGAUGAUUAGCUAUCGACACAAGACAGUCCCUGGUAAUUGCCUUUAAUAGUAAGGUAGCACUAGGCCAUGAAAGGUGCUUCAGUGUACCUGCCUCAUUUGUGGCUCCCUUUUGGCCAUGUGACCCUAACUCCCCUGGUCACAAGUGGCUGAACCAGCAAUCAAUACCUGACCUGAAGGCAACCCUCUAUAGGCUGGCAAGUGGCCUACAAAGUUGCUCAGUGCUAGAGAACUGAGCCCAACAGAAGUACAUUCUAAUGUUUAGUGAUUGGCCAAUCGUAUUCUUUGUGAUGGUGCUGAUGGGAAGGUAGUGAUGUGCAUCAGACAUGCAGAGUUAGUAGCAGCUGGAGCAGACACAGAAGCCUCCCUAACAAUGGGCAAUGGAGAAAGGAACAACAGACAGUUCUGAAAGAAUACCAAGUGCUCCUAAGCCAAAAGCUAUAGUUAGGCUGCUGGAGGUACUGCCAGUCCUAAAUGAUGGCAAUGAUGGUCCAUUUUUCUGUGAAACUUGACUGUAUACCUGUUAAGAUUUUUUUGUGUUCUUUUUAAGGCUCCAUGAAUGAAUCUUUCCAAUAAACAAGUUUGUAACAAAGGCAACCUGAACAUUUCUGAUACUUGAAACUUGAAAAUAUCUAAUACAAUUUUACAUCACUUUCAAAUCAUGAGUGAAGAAGUUAAUGUGUUAUUGAAUUAGAUUCCCUAUACAUAUGUCAGUUACUUAUUCAAUCAAUAAUAUGUACUGAUAACCUACUAUGUGCCAGACAUGUA